GUUCUGGCUCGGUUUGGAAGACUAGUGAUUUUGUUGUUUGUAAUGUAAACACACAGACAGCAAUGCACAGUCUCCAUACUGCGCCAGGAA